AUUUAAAUAGCUUAAGAUUAAGAGUAUUAUAUUGAAGAUAUAAUGGUAAUGUAAAUAUUUUUAAAUA
rnacentral:tRNA from 1 species